GUGAGUAGUUCAGAGUUUGAUCCUGGCUCAGGAUGAACGCUAGCUACAGGCUUAACACAUGCAAGUCGAGGGGCAGCAUGAACAUAGCUUGCUAUGUUUGAUGGCGACCGGCGCACGGGUGCGUAACACGUAUCCAAUCUACCCAUGGCUCGGGGAUAGCCUUUCGAAAGAAAGAUUAAUACCCGAUGGUCUCGGUUUAAGGCAUCUUAGACUGAGUAAAGAUUUAUCGGCGAUGGAUGAGGAUGCGUCUGAUUAGGUAGAUGGCGGGGUAACGGCCCACCAUGCCAACGAUCAGUAGGGGUUCUGAGAGGAAGGUCCCCCACAUUGGAACUGAGACACGGUCCAA
rnacentral:rRNA from 1 species